AUUGAACGCUGGCGGCAUGCCUUACACAUGCAAGUCGAACGGUAACAGGUCUUCGGAUGCUGACGAGUGGCGAACGGGUGAGUAAUACAUCGGAACGUGCCCGAUCGUGGGGGAUAACGGAGCGAAAGCUUUGCUAAUACCGCAUACGAUCUACGGAUGAAAGCAGGGGACCGCAAGGCCUUGCGCGGACGGAGCGGCCGAUGGCAGAUUAGGUAGUUGGUGGGAUAAAAGCUUACCAAGCCGACGAUCUGUAGCUGGUCUGAGAGGACGACCAGCCACACUGGGACUGAGACACGGCCCAGACUCCUACGGGAGGCAGCAGUGGGGAAUUUUGGACAAUGGGCGCAAGCCUGAUCCAGCCAUGCCGCGUGCAGGAUGAAGGCCUUCGGGUUGUAAACUGCUUUUGUACGGAACGAAAAGACUCCUUCUAAUAAAGGGGGUCCAUGACGGUACCGUAAGAAUAAGCACCGGCUAACUACGUG
rnacentral:rRNA from 1 species